GCUGGGUGUGGUGACGCACACCUGUAGUCCCAACUACUUGGGAAGCUGAGGUGGGAGGAUUGCUUGAGCCUGGGAGGUUGAAGUUGUUGUGAGGUGAGCUGUGAUUGUGCUACUACACUCUAGCCUGGGCAACAGAGCAAGAUUCUGUCUCAA
ensembl:misc_RNA Metazoa_SRP Metazoan signal recognition particle RNA